rnacentral:rRNA from 1 species
GACGAACGCUGGCGGCGUGCUUAACACAUGCAAGUCGAACGAAAAUACCAAGCUUGCUUGGUUGAUUAGUGGCGAACGGGUGAGUAACACGUGAGUAACCUGCCCCUUACUUUCCUGGAUAACUGCUCGAAAGGGUAGCUAAUACGGGAUAUUCUGACCAGCCUGCAUGGGUUGGUUGGGAAAGGUUGUUUUUCUGGUAAGGGAUGGGCUCGCGGCCUAUCAGCUUGUUGGUGGGGUGAUGGCCUACCAAGGCUUUGACGGGUAGCCGGCCUGAGAGGGUGGACGGUCACACUGGGACUGAGAUACGGCCCAGACUCGUACGGGAGGCAGCAGUGGGGAAUAUUGCACAAUGGGCGCAAGCCUGAUGCAGCGACGCCGCGUGAGGGAUGAAGGCCUUCGGGGUGUAAACCUCUUUCGUCAGGGAACAAGGCACUGCUUUUUUGGUGGUGUUGAGGGUACCUGGAUAAGAAGCGCCGGCUAACUACGUG